CGACAGGUGCGUUGCAAGGGAAAACAGUCAGAUUUAAUUAACGUCAGAGACGUGCAAGAUUUACCGAAAUACACAGAGACAGAAACACAAGCAAAGAUAAACUCUCAGAGUUUUACAAGAUUGGGAAUUUGAUGGAAUGUUUGCCACAUUCGCAAAUAAUCAUCUCCUGAGUCACCGUUUUCAACACGGCUUGGAUCUACAAACAUGUGAAGACUGUUUGAGUGUCAUCAAUUCUUGAUGACUGUGUGGCUGUCAUUGAUGUGAGACGAGUGGAUUGAAAUGUUCUGCGAGGUGCCGAAUCGCUCUUACCUGCUGUCAUCACACACCUAGGCAUACCUUACCUGUUGCUAUGGAGACGCCUGAGGAAAGAAAGGAAGAUUCAAGGACAGCACAGCUCGGCGGGAACAAACAGCCGUGCUCGCCAACACUCGACCACACGUUGCUCAGCAAC
rnacentral:lncRNA from 1 species